rnacentral:rRNA from 1 species
AUACGGAAGGUCCAGGCGUUAUCCGGAUUUAUUGGGUUUAAAGGGAGCGCAGGCCGGUGUGUAAGCGUGACGUGAAAUGUAGAUGCUCAACAUCUGGACUGCGUCGCGAACUGGUUUCCUUGAGUGCAUUCGACGUCAGCGGAAUUUGUGGUGUAGCGGUGAAAUGCUUAGAUAUCACGAAGAACUCCGAUUGCGAAGGCAGCUGACGAGACUGUAACUGACGCUAAAGCUCGAAAGUGCGGGUAUCGAACAGGAUUAGAUACCCUGGUAGUCCGCACGGUAAACGAUGGAUGCCCGCUGUUUGCGAUAUAUUGUAAGCGGCCAAGCGAAAGCGUUAAGCAUCCCACCUGGGGAGUACGCCGGCAACGGUGAAACUCAAAUGAAUUGACGGGG